rnacentral:rRNA from 1 species
UACGUAGGGGGCGAGCGUUGUCCGGAGUUACUGGGCGUAAAGCGCACGCAGGCGGUCUGCGAAGUUUGGAGUGACAGUUGGUGGCUCAACCACCAAAGUGCUUUGAAAACUGACAGACUUGAGGGCUUCAGAGGGACACGGAAUUCCGGGUGGAGUGGUGAAAUGCGUAGAGAUCCGGAGGAACACCAAAGGCGAAGGCAGUGUCCUGGCUCGUAUCUGACGCUGAGGUGCGAAAGCUAGGGGAGCGAACGGG